UGAGGCGGCUGAGUGAUCGCUCUCUGUCCCACUGUGGUGGGGUAGAGGGAGGAAAGUCCGAACACCACAGGGCAGGACGCCUGCGAAACGCAGGGCGCUGUGAGGCGAUGGAAAGUGCCACAGAAAACAAACCGCCCCGAUGCGUCGGGGUAAGGGUGAAAAGGUGGGGUAAGAGCCCACCGCUUCGGGUGGUAACACCCGGAGGCACGGUAAACCCCGUCCGGUGCAAGGCCAAAUAGGCGAGGAGGAGCGGCCCGCUCCGUCUGACUCGCGGGUAGGCCGCAUAGACAAAUGAUCACUCACGACAGAAUUCGGCUUACAGGCCGCCUCAAUUA
rnacentral:RNase_P_RNA from 1 species